CAUCACAGUAUCCACAUCAGAAACUUCUACACUGAGUAUAACUACAUCACAAGGAGUUGAAACAAGUACUACAGUGUCCAUUCCAGUAACUACUACACCAGGUGAAGAGGUAUUUUAUGCAAAAGUUAAGAUAAAUGAAGAAUUCAUAGAAGCAUUUAACAAUAAAAGUAGCCCUGAAUAUAAAAACUUCACUGACACGUUUAUACAAGAGGU